UUCUUUCCUUCCCCGAGCACACCCACACACAUGAAGGACUACCAACUAGCCACCUCCAACCUUUCCUCUCUCUCUCUCUCUCUAAUCUCCCUCAUCCCUCUCGGACUCUCUCACAUCUCUCAUCCCUCUUCUUCCUCUGCAAGUGCAGACACUGAGACCACCACCACUACCACCGUAUGUUAACAAAUCCGGCGAGUUCCAUGAUUUCCGAUUAGGUGAGCCUUGGAGUCACUUUUCUUUGCCUCAAAUUGAUGUUUGGUUUGAUUGCUAAGUUUGUAUACUCGUUGUUGUGAAGGAUCAACACGAAAUCGACUCGGAGUAACAAACCCAGUUUUUCGAUGACUUUUGAGUGGUUUUCCAGCCAAUUUCGGCCACGGCCAAGAACACCAGUGAAAUCAGCUAACCCAUGGCCUAAAACCCGGUUGACCAGACCCGGUGGAAUAUUUUUUAGAAUAUUCUGUUAGGGAAUAUUCCUUAUGUUGACUUUUACAAAAUUUGCUCAGCACCCGCCUUAGGGUAUUUUGACACCCUGAGUCCAAAUCCGGGUUCUGUUUUCCCAAAUUCAAUCAUUUUAGUAGGGUUUUACUAAUUGGUCCCUAUAUGUGCUUAGGUGUGUUUAUCAGUGGCAAUUCCGUCCUCCCUAGUUCGAACGUCUCUUCGAUGAUGGAUUAUCUGAGAUGUAGUGCCUACGGGCGAAUGAUAUAUAUAUGCCUUCAGGCGGGCGAUGUAGGGCAUUCGGGCAGAAGAUUUAUAUAUGCCUUCAGGCAGGCGAUGUAGGGCCUUUGGGCGGAAGAUUUAUUUAUGCGUUCGGGGGCGCGAUGUAGGGCCUUCGAGUGGAAGAUUUAUAUAUGCCUUUGAGCGGAUGAUGUAGGGCCUUUAAGCGAUUGUGAUACCACUACUAAGCACACUAUAUACGAUAUAUGUUUUAUGGUAGGCUAGGGUUUUCGGAAAACCUAUUAAUUAUUAUGCUAUAUGAGUUUUCUAAAACUGGGGGUUAGUAGGUUUAGGUUGAAGAAUAAUUGUUUUCGUAUUACUUAUAUAUAAACUUGGUCCACUCAUACUUUGUUUUGCGUACCCUUCAGGACUUAGAAUCGAGGCGUACAAUCCUAGCGUCAGGGUACUUCCGCAUCGAUAUCUUCGAGUCCUCUCAGUGUAGGACCCAUUCCUUUGUUCGUACCUUUUCGUAGUAUUUCUUCUACAGUAUUCUUGAUUAGUUGUAUGCUCUGAACACAUUCCCACUUUUGCAUAUUCUUUAUUAGUAAAAUUUACGUGUUUUAUUUA